rnacentral:lncRNA from 1 species
CUCGGUCGCGCCAUCGGGGAAGGGGGGUGGACGUGAUCCGCGUAGGCCUGCUUCCCGACUCCAAGGUAAAGUCCAUUGCCGCCCGCGAGCACCGCCUGGUGUUGUGAAUUAUCGUCGUAAUUUUUUCUUCCCUGAUCUGCUUGCAGCCGAAUUCUAUGUGACUGCCAUUGAUUCUAGGGCAGGCCUGAAUCCCCACGGUUUUCCUCUUUUUGUUCGCCUGUGAUUAAGGUAAAAGCCUGGAUGUAAUCCUUGUUAUGUGCGCAGAGGUUUACGAUCUCGGCUCUUUCCUUCUGAAUUUCUGCUGAAAUUCAUUGAAGCAUGUUGCUGAUAGGGCAUCGACGAUGCUCGCCAAGCAAUACUCUGGUUUCCGCGUACUCAUUCACGAGAGAUUCACUCCAUAGCCGUCAGAGAACAUCGAAGAAGAAGAAAGAUUAUACUCAGUCUCAACUCCGAAAGGAGAUGUUCACCGUCCAUCUCACACCUCCUAUUUUUAAAUUUGUUUCAGAUCUGCUAUCCUAUCCCGGUUGAUGUUUAUUCUUUCUUUCCGCACUCUGUGGAGCUUUGUUUUCAUCAAGCUUUGAUCAAAUUUAUUUUUGCAACCACAUCUAAGAAAAAAUCACAAUGUAUAUCCUUAAUGCACAGGUUAUAAUUUUUCGAAGAACGAGUGAUUCAUACUAUUUUGGAGAAACGUGGGAUAAAAUCAUUCAUCCUUGAUAUUCCAUAUUUACGAGCUUCC